rnacentral:lncRNA from 12 species
UUUCCGGGUGGCGGUCACAGGCUUCCAGGUGCAAGCACUUUUCAGGUCUCAGCUGGCAUCACAGUAGUUAUUGUCCCCUUGGCCAACGCCAGUCACGUGGAUAAGCCUUGAGUCAGUGCGGUAGGGAAACGCUCAAGGGCGUAGCUGCCGGGAGGUGUGAACAAGUCAGAGGCCAUCCUGCCACAGCCUGUCGCAGUCGGCGUCCGGGUCCCCUAGAGGUGCUCUCUGACACGGGCAUGGCCGGGUGGACGUGGGCAGACACGCAAGUUCUGCAUGGUUUAAUUUGGCGGUCUCUUUUGUAGAUGCCUACCCACCACCCCCCAUCUUUAAAUGCAGAAAUCCUUUGAGGUUGCAUGACUCAAGAACUGAAAUCCGAGGAUCAUCAUUUGCUCCCCAAAGGUAUUUUAUCAACCAGCAUUGCCUUAAGAUAAACAUUUCUUUCUGAUAGUCUCUUAAUUCUUCGGGUUGGAAGGACAAGAAAGACUCAGAAUCAACAAAUUGAAAGCACUACAUACUCUUAGUAUUAAUUCGAGGAGCAGAAUGAAACAUUAUGUGGAAUUCCGUACGGAACUUGACG